UUCCUACGGGUGGCAGCAGUAGGGAAUAUUGCGCAAUGGACGAAAGUCUGACGCAGCGACGCCGCGUGAGUGAUGAAGGCCUUAGGGUCGUAAAGCUCUGUUGAAUGGGAAGAAAAAAAUGACGGUACCAUUCGAGGAAGGACCGGCUAACUUCGUGCCAGCAGCCGCGGUAAUACGAGGGGUCCUAGCGUUGUUCGGAAUCAUUGGGCGUAAAGGGUGUGUAGGUGGCCAUGUAAGUCAGGUGUGAAAGCCCCGGGAUCAACCCGGGAAGUGCACUUGAUACUGCGUGGCUUGAGUACCGAAGAGGGUAGUGGAAUUCCAGGUGUAGUGGUGAAAUACGUAGAUAUCUGGAGGAACACCGGUGGCGAAGGCGGCUACCUGGUCGAGUACUGACACUGAGACACGAAAGCAUGGGGAUCAAACAGGAUUAGAUACCCUGGUAGUC
rnacentral:rRNA from 1 species